rnacentral:lncRNA from 1 species
UUUGUGUUAAUUUUCUGUAACCCUUUUGUUUUAGAAAUACUUUUCAAUUCAGGUGCUUUCUUAAGUUAACAUAUGAGGUGUAGGAACAAUUUCUUCAUGGAGAGGACAGCCAAGGAUUGGAACGGGGUGCCCAGAGAAAUGGUGGUGUCCCCAUCCCUGGAGGUAUUUAAGAGACGUGAGGAUGUGGCACUAAGGGACGUGGUUUAGUGAUGGGACUCGGCAGGUCAGGCUGGUGGUUGGACUUGAUGAUCUUGGAAGUCUUUUCCAACCUAGAUGAUUCUGUGAUUCUAAGUCAGGAAAGAUUUUGAGCUGCACUGAGUACAAAUUCUUGCCACCAUAAUUACGUUUUCAUCUUUCUAGGAUAUGCAACUGUAAUACUAUGAGGAGAUAGGUGCUUCUUCUUGAACGUAAGUCACUGAACUUCACAAAGUGAAUGUCCAAAGAAUUGUCUGUCUUUCAAAAGCAGGUUUCUGAAAGGAAGAAAACAGAGAGCUUUGUCCAUACCACUCAUUUGAAGAGGCCCCAGCUGUUCCAGUUUUCUUUUGUCUGAAUUGGGAACCACCAAGAAGUUCAAGGAAUCUUCUGGAAAAUAAGGGGUCAUUUUGUGUUAUGCACCCAAAAUGAGAUGUACUGGAAGUGUACAUCUGCCCAAGCCAUGAGCAGCCAGUUUCUCCAGAAACUGAUGUCUGGAAGAUUAAUUCAUCUGUACAUUAAGAGCUUUGACAGCUCUUCCAUGCUAAGUAUAUGUGCUAAGACCUGGGAUGUCACUGAAAUUUUUUAAUAAUAGCCAUAACACAAAGUAAACUGCUACUGCAUUUUUUUUAUAAUCUUCAUAU